rnacentral:rRNA from 1 species
AGAGUUUGAUCCUGGCUCAGGAUGAACGCUGGCGGCGUGCUUAACACAUGCAAGUCGAACGGGAAUUAUUUCAUUGAGACUUCGGAGGAUUUGAUCUAAUUCUAGUGGCGGACGGGUGAGUAACGCGUGGGGAACCUGCCUUAUACAGGGGGGAUCACAGUCAGAAUUGUCUGCUACUACCGCAUAACCUCGCAGUCUCUCAUGUCUCAGUGUGAAAAACUCUCGAUGGUAUAAGAGGGACGCGUGUUGUUUUAGCUUGUGGGUGGGGUAACGCCCCCCCAGGGCGUCUCUCCAUACCCGGCCUGAGAGGGUGAGUCCCCACUUUGGGUGUGAGACGCGCCCCAGUCUCUUGCGCGAGGCAGCAGUGGGGAAUAUUGCACUAUGGGGGAACCCCUGAUGCCGUGACGCCGCGAGAGGAAAGAACUAUCUGGGUAUGUAAAUUUCUAUCAGCAGGGAAGAUAUUGACGUUCCCUGACUAAGAAGCCCCGGCUAACUCCGUGCCAGCAGCCGCGGUAAUACGUAGGGGGCAAGCGUUAUCCGGAUUUACUGGGUGUAAAGGGAGCGUAGACGGUGUGCCAAGUCUGAUGUGAAAUCCAUGGGCUCAACCUGUGAACUGCAUCGGAAACUGUCAUACUUGAGUGCCGGAGGGGUAAGCGGAAUUCCUGGUGUAGCGGUGAAAUGCGUAGAUAUUAGGAGGAACACCAGUGGCGAAGGCGCCUUUCUGGCCGGUAACUGACGCUGAGGCGCGAAAGCGUGGGGAGCAACCAGGAUUAGAUCCCCUGGUAGUCCACCCUGUA